GCCGCCUUAGCUCAGUUGGUAGAGCAUCGCAUUCGUAAUGCGGGGGUCACAAGUUCGAGUCUUGUAGGCGGCACCA
rnacentral:tRNA from 1 species